UACGUAGGGUGCGAGCGUUGUCCGGAAUUACUGGGCGUAAAGAGCUCGUAGGUGGUUUGUCGCGUUGUUCGUGAAAUCUCACGGCUUAACUGUGAGCGUGCGGGCGAUACGGGCAGACUUGGGUACUGCAGGGGAGACUGGAAUUCCUGGUGUAGCGGUGGAAUGCGCAGAUAUCAGGAAGAACACCCGUGGCGAAGGCGGCUCUCUGGAACGCAACUGACGCUGAGACGCGAAAGCGUGGGGAGCAAACAGG
rnacentral:rRNA from 1 species